GGCGUGGGUGCAAAGUGGGCGCCAUAUGUGGCGCCAAUCCUCUCUCAAGUAAGAGUCCUUCUUUGAUAAGUAGUAGAUUGAUUCAAAAUAUAUUUGAAUUAGGAGUUUUAUACUUGUUGGAUCAUGAGAAUCAUCUAUAAAUAGAGAGGGUCUCUGCCUAUGGAUGCAUAAGAGACAGCAUAGCAAUCAAAAUGAGAAAAAAGAGAAAGAGAGAGGCGUGAGAGCUAGAGGGCGCAGCUUCCCCCUUGGCGUGUCCUCC
rnacentral:lncRNA from 1 species